AGCCACUGCUGCUCUGAGCUGCCCUUGCAGUGAAAGUCAACCACGUGUGGUCAGUAAGCGCCGGAGCAGGGGUGGCAGAGGCUGGCUAGAUCCAGUUCUGCUUGCAGCAGAUCCUGCCUAGGCUUUGCUCCUCCUUGCUUGGUGGGCCUUGAAAUCUGGUGCAGUGGUGUGGAAAUGAGCAGAGUCCCCCAGGAGGACUGCGGCGCCCGUACUCUGCUCUUCCUGUUGUGAGCCAUCCCCACCCUCACCUUCCUGUGGGAAAGGUGGGCUCCAGGCUCCUGAGGGCACCACCUGGGUCUCUCUGGUGCCCCUGGUGGCUGCAUGUGGCCUAACAGAGUGCCAGCCGGGGAAUGGGCCGAGUGCUCCCAGUCC
rnacentral:lncRNA from 1 species